AUCACCUGGAGAUCUUGUUAAGAUGCAGAUUCUGGUUUGGUAAGUCUGGCACGGGGCCCAAGAGUCUACAUUUCUAAAAAGCUCCCAAGUGAUGCAAA
rnacentral:pre_miRNA from 1 species